UCUUCGUAUGGUUUUGAGUGAUAACUUGUCCACACUGGGUGCAUAAUAAUGUAACGGUACACUGAAUAGUAGUAAUGACCAACAGCAACAAACAGAUCUCCUCAAGGUAAGUCUGUUGGCUGUAUUUUAAUGAAGACCAUCGCUGGACUUCAGGAUCUUCCUCCGUUCAGCUCAAGGUGAGGCGCUGGUUCUGUUUUUUCUUUGGUUGGUUCCGGCCGGAAUGUUCGGAUUCCAGUCGGACGGUUUGUGCUUCCCGCCGUGGAAGGUUCUGAGUGCGGUCACUUGAUUUAGUCCCAAUGGUUAUCAGCAUAGAACAAUGUAGUCUUGACAACCAUAAGAAACCACCUGGCAGUUAGUUGGACGGGAGUCCCCUAAGGGAAUCUGGCGAAACGUUCUGGAUUGUAUUUGCGUAACCUCGAGCCGUUGCCAACGGAAACUAUUUUUCAGUCGGUUUCCAUUGGGAAUUGUUUCCCCUAUCUUAAACAACUUAAGUUUGAUUAUUAAAUACAUACUGACACGUACGUCGUACAAUAUGUUGAUAAUUUCCGAUGGUUGCGCCGUACUUUUAACCACGUUGACGGGACUCUCGCUGCGUACAGAACGGCGUUCUACUUGCGGCCCCAUCAGUGAAGGCUGAAAAAUCAUUUCAAGGUGGAAGACAAUUUGACAUUUCUUCAAAGGAACCCAGCACCUGAAUAUGGCUGAGUAAAUUUGAUUUAAUUUUGAUACUGCUUAGUGUUCUUUGUUACUUCAGCUUUUGUACGUUCUAAAUAUCUGCUGUCAUUAAUUGCCACAGAAGUUAAACCCUACCCAAUAGAAUGACAUUAAACAAUGACUUUGGUGCAGAGUUAGCAACUGGAUAAUAUCAAAGCUAAAAUAAUGGCCGUCAUUCCCACAUGUUACAGUAGAAGAUACUCUAGAACUGUACAAGGUUAAAAAGGUAACAUGUAGUUUGUCCCAAGGUGUCUGCCUCCUCACCCAGAGCAAGAGCUCCACCUCCUCACCCAGAGCCAGACCUCCACCUCCUCACCCAGAGCCAGACCUCCACCUCCUCACCCAGAGCCAGACCUCCACCUCCUGUCAGAAGUCCUCCAGAACAGCUGAAAGGCGAGGCUGAGAGGCUGGGGACCGGAGGCUUGUGGUGCCAGGGUGGACCGGAGACUGAGGCUGGAGACCAGGGGCCUGCAGCACCGGACCAGUGGUGAAUCUCAGAUGCAGGAGGUGGGGUGCGUUGCGUCCCUUGGCUGGUGGAGGAUUUGGUGGAGGGCCUGCCUGGUGAGUGACGUCUGUCGUGGGACCAGGACUCUGUCUGAGGAGAGCUGCUGGAGGAGCUGAGACGCUGGAGGACGACUAGGAAUCGACUAACAAGGAUUCCUCAACGUGUUUCUGGAGCGGAGGCGAGCUGGUAGGGGAGCCGUGAAUCUGGAGGAUGACCAGCACUCUACCAACAAGGAUUCUAAGUUUGUAUUAACCAAACAAACUGGAAAUAAAGGGCUUAAAAAUAAGGCAAACUACAUUUUGUUACCAGACUUUAGGGCCAGACUCGCGCUGUUUGUUCCAGACCAGGACUCUGGCUGAGGAGAGCUGAUGGAGGAGCCAAGACGGGAGGACGACCUCACUCCACCAACCAGGAUCCUCGUAAGUUUGCCUAAAAUAAACAGUGGACUUGUUGUAACGCAGGAUUAGUUUGUCCAGUACAAGUUACGGCGUACUAUUGUGGUUGGUUACCAGACACACUACAGCUGCUACUUUGUUACGCGCCAUUAGAGCCCAACUACUCCUGUGUUUGUGACCUUACAUUAGAGACAAACUACUACUGUGUUUGUUACCUGAUAUUGGAGCAAACUACUCCUGUGUUUGUUACCUUGCAUUAGAGCCC